rnacentral:rRNA from 1 species
GUGGGGGGGAGUCGCGCGUGAGGGAGAGGUCUGUGGAUUGUAAACCUCUUUUGAUGGGGAAGAAGACAGUGACGGUACCUAUCGAAUCAGCCUCGGCUAACUCCGUGCCAGCAGCCGCGGUAAUACGGAGGAGGCAAGCGUUAUCCGGAAUUAUUGGGCGUAAAGAGUCCGUAGGGGGGUAACCAAGUCAGUUGUUAAAUAGUGAAGCUUAACUUCAUAGAGGCGACUGAAACUGGUUGUCUAGAGUGUGGUAGGGGUAGAGGGAAUUUCCAGUGUAGCGGUGAAAUGCGUAGAUAUUGGAAAGAACACCGGUGGCGAAAGCGCUCUACUGGGCCUGCACUGACACUGAGGGACGAAAGCUAGGGGAGCGAAAGGGAUUAGAUACCCCUGUAGUCA